rnacentral:lncRNA from 1 species
AUUCCAGCUAACUCAGGUAGUGAGUUGGAAGAAAAGGAGAAGGGAAGAAAUAAGUAAGGAUGCCGUGAAGUCCAAAGGAGCAUUUUGCUAAACAGUGAUGCCUAUCUUCCAGGCCCUGACUCCUGCACUCCACCCUUUGGUAUGAGGAAGGCACAAGGCCAUCGGGAGCCUCUUGCUGCUCAAGGCAUCUUCUGGUCCACAGAGACCUGAUUCCCAGCCUCUACUUUUCCUUUUCUCGAAGCUUGGAUACCCAGAAUACCAGCUUGCCCAUGAAGCUCAGACUCCCAAAGAGGACGAAUUGAACUUCUCUGGACUCUACGUUCCCUCACCCCUACGUACCCCCUACGUCCUCCAUCCCCUUCCCUGUGCCCUGCUGAACCUAAAUCACCUGUUUUCUACACUCACCUCCUAAGCUCGCUGGGCUCCUCUACAGUAUAGCUUUGGCAUACUUCUCUGCCGGGCGUCCAGUGUACUGAGGCCAGCAGGGACCCGAAUUGGCACCCCAGGCCCUGACUUGGCCAUUCUACCGGAACUUCCUUCUUGCGAUGCCCUGGGCCCCCGCUUAACACUUGGCUCCAAUAGCAGGACGCUGGGUUUCCGUGCCUCUUCCUCAGCUAGGCCUCUUAAAACUGCAUCUCCAUCCUUCUCCCCAAUUUAGCUCUUGCCUUUCUCCUGAUUUCCCAGGUCCAGAAAGUCUAAACGUUUGUAGCCAGAAAAGACCAGAGAAGCUGGAAAUGCGGAUGCAGAGGCUCAGUUGGGUCCUGCGCCCGGGGAUGGAGGUCGGGGGGAGGUGCCCAGGCCCAAUGGUAGGUUCUCAAAGCUCUGGAGGACUUUAGUGGACUUUAGGACUUAGUGAGAGCUAAGCAGGACCUCAAAGCUGUGACUUCACAUCUCAGCAAAGAGCACGCAUCUCCCUCGCUCAAGGAUGUGUCUCUGUUGCCAGUGCGACAGCUCCACCUCGUGUAAGAAAAGGGAAUUGCUUUAAAAGAGAAUGGCGCCCUUAAGGGUAGGAUGCUUGGGUUAACAAAGUGGUCUCAAAAAACCCAGGGCUGGGUUUGUAUCUCAACGGUAGAGCACUUGCCUAGCAUUCCCAAGCUUCAGUGCCCAGCACCUAAAAAUGUAAGGAGCAUAAACAAAAACUAGUUCAUUAAAUAAACUACAACUGCUG